AGGUACAUUUCUUUUGGCUUUUGAUGUGCAGCUCUACAAAACCAAAGGGAAGCAGCUGUAUCUGAACUAUUAAGAGAUAAGGAUGAGUAAAACCUGGAACAAUUUACUAAGAUAAUGAAGACUCUCCCAAGUGGUGCUUCUGAGCAAACACAGGGCAAUGAAAGGAGAGGCUAACAUCACUUAAUUUUUAAGGAUUCUCUGCUUCAUGGUGCCAGCCUGAAAACUAGCUUUCGAGGCACAUUCCACAUUAUAGUGAUAGCUUGAAUUGAGUUUGCAGCCAUCAAGCAUGUUGUAAAACCAUACCUAAUUUGCUUCAAAAUAUGGAACCAGCAUGUCAGGAAACUGUUUUGCUUUUACUAGAAUUAAAUGUGAAAUAACCUUUUUUGUGCUCUUUUUACAAAAUGUCCAUGAAACCUGCAACAAUUACAGGGAGCUCCCUACUUAUUUUCAGAAGAUAGAUAUCACUUGCUUCAAGAACUUUGUUCUUCAUUAUCCAAGAUGCUUUUUCUACGCUUGCAGGAUAACUUUCAGGAUAUGAAAAGUGUCUUUGAAGCUCA